GUUGGGCAUGGAAACAUACCUGCAAUUCCAACUAACAUGGAAGCUGAGACUGGUGGAUCUCUUGAGCUUGGGAGUUCUGCGUUGCAGUAACUUAGCCAUUUGGAUAUCCAAACCAAGUUGGCAUUAAUAUGGUAAGCUCCUAGGAGUCCAGGGCUACCAGGUUGCCUAAGGAGAAAUUCACAGGUCUAAGUGAGAAACCAAGCAGGCCAAAGCUCUCAUGCCAAUUGGUAGUGGGAUGAGGUCCAUGAGUAGCCCUGACCUUUUGAACUGGGUUGAGAAAGAGAAACUGACUCUU
ensembl:misc_RNA Metazoa_SRP Metazoan signal recognition particle RNA